rnacentral:rRNA from 1 species
CACGUAGGGCGCAAGCGUUGUCCGGAAUUAUUGGGCGUAAAGAGCUCGUAGGUGGUUUGUUACGUCUGCUGUGAAAACCUAGGGCUUAACCCUGGGCUUGCAGUGGAUACGGGCAGACUAGAGGUAGGUAGGGGAGAACGGAAUUCCUGGUGUAGCGGUGAAAUGCGCAGAUAUCAGGAGGAACACCGGUGGCGAAGGCGGUUCUCUGGGCAUUACCUGACGCUGAGGAGCGAAAGUGUGGGGAGCGAACAGG